rnacentral:lncRNA from 1 species
AUUGGGCUAUUUGCUUUGAUGUCUGUGAGAUUGGAUAUUAUUCAGUAGGAAGGCAUAGUAAUUCUCAUUUCAUUCAUUUUAUAGGUUUGCACCAGGUGUGUGUCACUUCACGUACAGCAUUUAUGACUCAGAAACAGCUCUAUUUCAAGUCCGUGUUUACCCCAAUUUCCACUCAUUAUCAGAGAGCUGAAUUCUAAAUCAGAGACUGCGGAGGAAAGAUGUGCAACCUGAAUAAAACAUUUCCAGAAGAGCCUGAAUAAUGGUCCUGAAUAAAGGGAACUGAAAUGUUCUUGAAUUAUAAUUGGGAAAAAUUUAAGUAUGUGUACUCAAGAACACAUGUACUAAGAAGAGGUUAGUUAUUAUUACUUUGUGCUAUUUAACAUUUAUGGGGCCCCCAAAGUAUUUUUAGUUCUGAUUUGAACAGAAGUGGUCUGAUAAGUGAGCUCCCGUCUAAAUUACCCAUGUGGAGAUUCACCUGUAAUCAUUCUCUGUGCGGAGAGAGGCAGCGUUGAUAAACUACUCCUGAAUAAGUGGACUGUUAAUGCAGCAGUAUAGUCUAACUCACAGCAAAAUAAAAUAAUUAGUUCAGACAAAUACGGCCUUUAAAAAUCUCACUUGACCCUUUUUUUUCUUUUACCUAAUUUCUCUGUGCCAGGGCAUUCAGAAAUUAGCAAACAAUUUGUCAGAUUUAUACAAGAUUACUGAGAAAUUGGAGAAGGGGAGUAAGGAUGGAAAGAUGAGGAAGACUAAAGAUCAGUGUCAGUCUCUGACUCCAAGGGCUUUAUGCUCCACAGACUUUCGAUCUGCAAGGUUUUGAAAUAGAAACCGUGUCUCAGAAGAGAUCUUGGCAAUCCCAAAGGUAAAGACCCCUGAAGACGAGCUGCCUUCUUCCUCUAAGAGCACACCUCCUCCUGGAUGAUCUGAGAGUAGCGUGGGGAUAACAUUGCCAGUAAACAGACCAGUCUUCUGGAUCUCUUCUUACAUCCCAAGUAAAAUUAGAUGUAGCAUUUUCAGCCUGAUUCCUAAAUGUUUUGUCUGUCAGCCGGCAGCUUGUCACCUUGAGCAGACUUAACCAAUUAAUUCAGUUCUCUGGUUCCUGGCUAGACUUGAAUCAUAGAAAGCUUUCAUACCAUCUCAGCAGAAGUUUAAACUGUGAUCUCUAUGGUGAGUAAGUAGUGUCUAGGCUCUGGGAAUUUAUUUUAUGAGAAACCAUAGCACCUGUGCUCAUUUUUAAGGAAGACAUGGUAAUGUUACCAAGCAUUUCUCUAAAUGCCUUUUACUCUGGGCAUUUCUAACAGUUUUCCUGAGGAGUAAACAUAAUUUUUCUUCUUUUUCAGCUAGGAAAAGAGUAGUUAAGGGGGGUUAAAUGGCAUUGUAAUAGCGAACUAUUACCUAAAGGAAAGUGUCUUCAGAUUUUUUUUACUAUAACUGUUCAUAUUGACAAUUCAUAAAUGAUGUUAUGUCAGAAUUAAUAGAUCAAAAUCCUACAGGGCUUCUCUCGUGUCCAGAACAGUAUAGACUAUUCAGGAGAUAGAAAGACAUGUAAGGCACAGUUCUACCUCCCAAGAACUAACAAUCUAGAUAUGAAAUUAAAAAUAUAUCUUUAAUACCAAUAUAACUACAUGCUGUUUAAGAGGUACAUCUGAAAUAGUUAAAAAACGCUGGUCAAAGAUAGAGGAUUACCAUAAGCAAAAUAAGAAAACAAUGGCAAUAAUAUUCUUGAAGAACACAAAAUAGAAAGUAUUAAACAAAAAAAUGUUUAUUUUAUAAAAGACACCACAAUUUUUGCUGAAGCUCAAAAAUAUUAAUAUUUUCCCUCCAAACAAGACAGCUUCAGGGCAGAAGGAUAUUAUGAAAUGAAAUAUCAACAAACAAUAUUAAUGAGAUACUUUGAAAUAACAUCAAUGUUGGGAAAAUAAAAAUGAGCUAAAAAUAAAGAGAUAUAUUGCC